rnacentral:rRNA from 1 species
AGUGAACGCUGGCGGUAGGCCUAACACAUGCAAGUCGAGCGGCAGCACAGUAAGAGCUUGCUAUUACGGGUGGCGAGUGGCGGACGGGUGAGGAAUACGUCGGAAUCUACUUUUUCGUCGGGGGUAAAGUCGGGAAACUUAGGCUAAUUCCCCAUAGUAGCUACUUGUGAAAACAGGGGAUCUUCGGACCUUGCGCGAUUGAAGGAGCCGAUGUCGCAUUAGCUAGUUGGCGGGGUGAAGGCCCACCAAGGCGACGAUCCGAAGCUGGUCUGAGAGGAGGAUAAGCCCCACUGGAACUGAGCAACGGUCCAGACCCCUACGGGAGGGAGGAGAGGGGAAUAUUGGACAAUGGGCGCAAGCCUAAUCCAGCCCUACCGCGUGGGUGAAGAAGGGCUUCGGGUUGUAAAGCUAUUCUGUUGGGAAAGAAAAGUAGCAGGUUAAAACCCCGCUGUUCUGCCGGUACCCAAAGAAUAAGCACCGGCUAACUUCGUG